UCUUCCCUCUUUCCUCGUGCCUAAUACAUGCAAGUCGAGCGAACAGAUGAGGAGCUUGCUCCUCUGACGUUAGCGGCGGACGGGUGAGUAACACGUGGAUAACCUACCUAUAAGACUGGGAUAACUUCGGGAAACCGGAGCUAAUACCGGAUAAUAUAUUGAACCGCAUGGUUCAAUAGUGAAAGACGGUUUUGCUGUCACUUAUAGAUGGAUCCGCGCCGCAUUAGCUAGUUGGUAAGGUAACGGCUUACCAAGGCAACGAUGCGUAGCCGACCUGAGAGGGUGAUCGGCCACACUGGAACUGAGACACGGUCCAGACUCCUACGGGAGGCAGCAGUAGGGAAUCUUCCGCAAUGGGCGAAAGCCUGACGGAGCAACGCCGCGUGAGUGAUGAAGGUCUUCGGAUCGUAAAACUCUGUUAUUAGGGAAGAACAAAUGUGUAAGUAACUAUGCACGUCUUGACGGUACCUAAUCAGAAAGCCACGGCUAACUACGUG
rnacentral:rRNA from 1 species